rnacentral:rRNA from 1 species
GAUCCUGGCUCAGAGCGAACGCUGGCGGCAGGCCUAACACAUGCAAGUCGAACGGAUCCUUCGGGAUUAGUGGCGGACGGGUGAGUAACACGUGGGAACGUGCCCUUUGGUUCGGAACAACUCAGGGAAACUUGAGCUAAUACCGGAUGUGCCCUUCGGGGGAAAGAUUUAUCGCCAUUGGAGCGGCCCGCGUCUGAUUAGCUAGUUGGUGAGGUAAAGGCUCACCAAGGCGACGAUCAGUAGCUGGUCUGAGAGGAUGAUCAGCCACAUUGGGACUGAGACACGGCCCAAACUCCUACGGGAGGCAGCAGUGGGGAAUCUUGCGCAAUGGGCGAAAGCCUGACGCAGCCAUGCCGCGUGAAUGAUGAAGGUCUUAGGAUUGUAAAAUUCUUUCACCGGGGACGAUAAUGACGGUACCCGGAGAAGAAGCCCCGGCUAACUUCGUG